rnacentral:rRNA from 1 species
AUGCCUAUGGGUCUCUCGGAAGCACCGGGCACUUUUAUGCGCCUUAUGAAUCAUGUCUUUCACCCUUACAUUGGUAUAUUUGUUGUGGUUUACUUCGAUGACAUUCUUGUGUUUAGCAAAUCUAUCAAAGAGCAUGUCACCCAUGUCCGCACCGUUUUGCAAACUCUUAGAAAAGAGUGCCUCUAUGCUAAUAUGGAGAAAUGCCUUUUUGGUGUUGAUAAGCUCGUUUUCUUGGGUUUUGUUGUUUCUUCUAAGGGUGUUCAUGUAGAUGAGUCCAAGAUCAAUGCUAUUAAGACUUGGCCGCAACCAACCAACUUGCAUCAAGUGCGUAGUUUCCUUGGUCUUGCGGGUUUCUAUCGUCGCUUUGUGAAGGAUUUUAGCACCAUUGCUUCGCCUUUGCAUGCUUUGAGCAAGAAGAAUGCGCCUUUUAUUUGGAGACCAUCCCAAGAUACCGCAUUCAAUGAGCUUAAGAAUUUGCUUACUCAUGCUCACGUGCUUGCUUUACCCAACUUCGACAAACCUUUUGAAAUUCAUUGUGAUGCUAGUGGUAAUGGCAUAGGAGGUGUGUUAACACAAGAGAAGCACCCCAUAGCUUACUUUAGUGAGAAAUUUUCCAGAGCGCAACUCAAUUACCCCAUCUACGACAAGGAGCUAUAUGCUUUAGUCCGCGUUUUGCAUGAAUGGGAACACUAA